GUAUGAAUGUUAAUUGUAAUAGUGAAAUGUGUAUAUAAUUGGUGUUAAAUCUAUUUGAUAUUGGUAGCUUGAAAAGGUAGAUAUUCUAUUCACUAGAGCUUGAGGAGUGACUGCGAUUCGAUACCGUAUUAAUUCAAGUGAUAAACUAUGGCUUAUUGUAGAUUGGAUCUAUUUUUAACAAAUGAAGGUUCUUAACCUAAGGAGUACGCUUUCAGAAGUGAAACUUAAAUGUUCUGGUGGUGGUUUAGAACAAUAGUGGAAUAGAUGAUUUAAUUCGAUGUUAUGCGAUAAAGCUUUUCAGGUAUCUUUAAGAAUACCUAGGUAUAGGUAGAAUUCUAUUAUAGGUAGUGCAUGGCUGUUGGAAUAUCAUGUUUUGUAAUAUCUGGUUUCGGACAGGAAUAGCCGAUACACAUUUGGUUGAAAAAUAUAGAAAUGACCUGCAAUUGCAGGUCAUUAUCAGGUCGUACAAGGUCAUUCUAGGUUCAUAAAGGUUCAAAGAUAGAAUAACGUCGAGUCAUUAUGCUCUUUUGUUCGGAGAUAUUCAUGUGUUACAAGGAGAGCUAUAUAGCUACUUAUUUUUCAGUAAAUCAAAUGUUAUCAUCCGGCAUUGAAAAUUGAAAUGUUUUUAUAAAGGAGGAAUUAUUAGGAAUCUUUGGUUAGUUAUUUAAAGGUGGACAGGAGAUAAAUUUUGCACAUACCGCCCGUCAAGCAAAAAGCAGAGAUGUAGAUGAAAACAGACCGGCACAUGGCUGUGAAAUAACGUGCUAAUUUGUGUUAAGUCGAAACAUGGUAGCUCAUCUGGAAUGAUGAGCUGGAUU
rnacentral:rRNA from 1 species